rnacentral:lncRNA from 1 species
GUUGCUGCUGUGACCUCCUUCCAGUCGACUCUCCUCUGAAGAGAACAGAGCUGCCCCUCAUCUUUCAGCCCAGCUCUCCUGUUUUCUCAGCACCUCAGCGGAACAAGAAAGACAGAGCCUGCCAGAACCAAGUCGACCUUCCCUACUCAGCAGAGACCAGACCUGCCCCUCGUCUCCCAGCCCUGUGUCUGGUGUGUUUUCUCAGCACAUCAGUGAACCAAGAAAGGACUGAGCCUGCGAGAACCAAGGUAUAUAGACUUGCAGGAGACAUGGAUUCGAUCCCUGGGUUGGGAAGAUCCCCUGGAGAAGGAAAUGGUAACUCACCCCAGUAUUCUUGCCUGGAGAAUUCCAUGGACAGAGGCACCUGAUGGGCUGCAGAACAUGGAGUCACAAAUAGUCAGACACAACUGAGCGACUAAAGGGCAACAGCACCUGUUUUAAGGUUUAUGUAUUGAUCUGAACCAGCUAAUUAUUCCCUGCUCCCUCCUUUCCAUUUUGGCAACAAUAACUUUCUUUCCUAAGCCUGUGAAUCUGUUUCUCUUUUGUAAUGAAGUUCAUUUGUAUCCAUUUUUAGAUUCCACCAGAAGGGCUAUUCUAUGAUUAUCUGUCUUUCCCCUUCUCACUCACUUCAUGUAGUAUGAUCACCUCUGGUUUCUUCCCUGUAACUGGAAACGGCAUUGUUUCAUCCUUAUGUGUGUCUGAGUAAUACUGCACUGGGUAUAUGUACCCCGUUUCCUGUAUCGAUCCAUCUGUCCUAGCAUACUGGAGUUGCUUC